GCUUACAGUCAGUUUUGCAGGUUUGCAUCCCAGCGUAUACAAAUUGCUGUGCAAAUCCAUGCAAAACUGAUUGUGAUG
rfam:Ornithorhynchus anatinus chromosome 6, whole genome shotgun sequence.